GCGCCCAUAGCUUAACGGAUAAAGCGCAAGCCUCCGGAGCUUGAAAUCGAGGUUCAAUUCCUCGUGGGCGCA
rnacentral:tRNA from 1 species